rnacentral:piRNA from 1 species
UGUAUUUGUGGACAUGAGGAUGGUUAUGA